GACGGGGGGUCCAAGCGUUGUUCGGAAUCAUUGGGCGUAAAGCGUGUGCAGGUGGUUUUGUAAGUUGGAUGUGAAAGCCCCGGGCUUAACCCGGGAAGUGCAUUCAAAACUGCAAAGCUUGAGUAUGGAAGAGGGUCGUGGAAUUCCUGGUGUAGUGGUGAAAUACGUAGAUAUCAGGAGGAACACCGGUGGCGAAGGCGGCGACCUGGUCCUAUACUGACACUCAUACACGAAAGCGUGGGUAGCAAACAGG
rnacentral:rRNA from 1 species